rnacentral:rRNA from 1 species
UACGUAGGGUGCGAGCGUAAUCGGAAUUACUGGGCGUAAAGCGUGCGCAGGCGGUUUUGUAAGCCAGGUGUGAAAUCCCCGGGCUCAACCUGGGAAUGGCAUUUUGGGACUGCAAGGCUGGAGUGCGGCAGAGGAGACUGGAAUUCCUGGUGUAGCAGUGAAAUGCGUAGGUAUCAGGAGGAACACCGAUGGCGAAGGCAGGUCUCUGGGCUGACACUGACGCCCAUGCACGAAAGCGUGGGGAGCAAACAGG